AACGAACGCUGGCGGCGUGCUUAAUACAUGCAAGUCGAACGUGAAUCCCGACUUCGGUUGGGAUGAAAGUGGCGAACGGGUGAGUAACACGUAAGUAAUCUGCCUUCAAGUUUGGGAUAACCCUGCCAACGCGGGGCUAAUACCGGAUGUGGUCCAGCUGACACAUGUUGGCUGGAUUAAAGGGUCGCGAGGCCGCUUGGAGAUGAGCUUGCGGCCCAUUAGUUAGUUGGUGAGGUAACGGCCCACCAAGACGAAGAUGGGUAGCCGGCCUGAGAGGGUGUACGGCCACAUUGGGACUGAGAUACGGCCCAGACUCCUACGGGAGGCAGCAGUAGGGAAUUUUGCGCAAUGGACGGAAGUCUGACGCAGCAACGCCGCGUGAAGGAUGACGGCCUCGGGUUGUAACUUACUGUUGGAUGGGAAAAAAGACCUAAGGAAUAGGAAUUAGAUAGGUACCAUUCGAGUAAGCACCGGCUAACUACGUGCCAGCAGCCGCGGUAAAAGUAGUGUAGUACU
rnacentral:rRNA from 1 species